UUAAACCUUCUUGACCAUUCUCAAGGAGAUAGAUUCCAUCAUCACUCACAUGUUCACUAGAAAGAGGGAGUGCAGGUGGAAUAGGAGAUUCAUUUCCUUCCUUUGUAUCAAGAUCAUGGAGAGCAAUCAUCCUUGGGUGUACUAAUGGAAUUGCUAAAGGGGUAGAAACUGAGGAAACAUAAGUAAUCCAAAAGGACCGAUCAUCUAUUCUACCAUCAAUUCGCAGUCCUGUGCUUUUAACCAAUGCAAGGGUGUAUAAAGGUAGAAGUUUAAGUGCUUCCGGAAGAAUAAGUUGUCCUGAUGAUGAUACAGUUGCACAAAAUUUACGAUAUGAAAGCAGAAUGUUUAUACAAAAGUUUGUAACUUGUUCUCGGACAUUCAAUGGCGGGGUAGAAGGAAUUUCAUUUGCCGCUUGCUUCAAAAAGCAUACAAAUUGAGUGUCCAAGUCAGCCAUGCGGAACAAAUUACUUAAAUU
rnacentral:misc_RNA from 1 species